GAUGAACGCUGGCGGCGGGCCUAACACAUGCAAGUCGAGCGAACGGACGGGAAGCGUUCUUUCCUGCUGUUAGCGGCGGGCGGGUGAGUAACACGUAGAUAACCUACCUAUAUGACUGGGGUAACUACGGGGGACCGGAUACAAUACCGGAUCAUAUUUCGAACCGCUUGGUUCAAAAGAGCUAGACGGUUUUGCUGACACUAAUAGACGGUUCCGCGCUGCAUUAGUUAGUUGGUAAGGUAACGGCUUACCAAGGCAACGAUGCAUAGCCGACCUGAGAGGGUGAUCGGCCACACUGGAACUGAGACACGGUCCAGACUCCUACGGGAGGCAGCAGUAGGGAAUAUUCGGCAAUGGGCGAAAGCCUGACGGAGCAAUGCCGCGUGGGUGAAGAAGGUCUUCGGAUCGUAAAACUCUGUUAUUAGGGAAGAACAGAUGUGUAAGAAAAUGUGGAUGUCUUGACGGUACCUAAACAGAAAGCAACGGCUGACUACGUG
rnacentral:rRNA from 1 species